ACGUAGGGAGCAAGCGUUAUCCGGAUUUAUUGGGUGUAAAGGGUGCGUAGACGGGAAAACAAGUUAGUUGUGAAAUCCCUCGGCUUAACUGAGGAACUGCAACUAAAACUAUUUUUCUUGAGUGCUGGAGAGGAAAGUGGAAUUCCUAGUGUAGCGGUGAAAUGCGUAGAUAUUAGGAGGAACACCAGUGGCGAAGGCGACUUUCUGGACAGUAACUGACGUUGAGGCACGAAAGUGUGGGGAGCAAACAG
rnacentral:rRNA from 1 species